UACGUAGGGUGCAAGCGUUGUCCGGAAUUAUUGGGCGUAAAGAGCUCGUAGGCGGUUUGUCGCGUCGGCUGUGAAAACCCGGGGCUCAACCCCGGGCCUGCAGUCGAUACGGGCAAACUAGAGUGUGGUAGGGGAGACUGGAAUUCCUGGUGUAGCGGUGAAAUGCGCAGAUAUCAGGAGGAACACCGGUGGCGAAGGCGGGUCUCUGGGCCAUAACUGACGCUGAGGAACGAAAGCGUGGGGAGCGAACAGG
rnacentral:rRNA from 1 species